CUGCAGAGUCACAAUAACACAAAGAAAGGUGGGAUGUACGGAGAAUAGGAACUUAAUGUCACAACGCUGUGGUGUAGACAGAAGGCUAAUAAUGGCAUACAACUGGAUCAACUCUCGGACGAUGGAUAUUCUGGAUAUAACAGGUUGGGUAUCCCAUAUCCAAAUAUCCGAAAUACGGAAUAUUCCGAAAUACGGACUUUUUUGAGUGAGAGUGAGAUAGUGAAACUUUUGUUUUUUGAUGGCUCAAUGUACACAAACCUUGUUUAAUACACAAAGUUAUUAAAAUAUUGUAUUAAAUGAC